CCGGCCCACAAAAGAUCCAGAACGCUUUAUCAGUGACCAGUCUCCCCAUUGAGGCCAUAAAAACCUUCCUCUCUCAGACACUUUGCCUCAAAUGACAAGCCUCUUGUAGUGAUCUAGAAUCUUCUUUUAUUCAGCGCACUGACUCUAUCUGUCUACUUUUUCUUUCCUGUUGACUGUUCCCAAAGCAGACCAGAAGAGAGGCAGUAUUCUGGGAAGGCACAGGUAGACAGACCCUUCGCUUACCCUCACGGCUGUUACACAACUAUUCCCAAGUUGUCCUUCUCUGACUAUGAAGACAUGGAAGAAAACUACAAAGGAUCCUUCUCGCAAGUCCCCAGACAAUAGCCAGGAUUCUCCAGGUCAACACCCUCUUCCAGGCUUCAAGCAAGUCAUUGGCUUCAGCAUCUGUGAAACCCAAGGAAUGUUAUGUAAUUGUCUCAUUCUCGUGCAUAUGUAUGUUCUUCUAAGGAGAAGGCUCCCAGUGUUCAUCAGAUUCCAAAGUAAUCUAUGAGCUGAAAAGGGUAGAAGCCCUGCUCCAGACUGCCUCCGCUGAGAGCCAGGCAUUGCUCUGCAGGGAUGAAGCUCCACUUGGAUCCUGCCCAUGGCCAGCUGAAGCCCCUUCUGCCUCUUGGAAGUCCUGGAGCCACUUAUUUUAAGAACAUGGCCUGUAGUGUGGAUCUUCAACUGCUGAUUGCAAUGGAUUCAACGUCCCUUGACCGGGCAGUGUGCCAGGGAAGCUGCAUUUCCUCCGCAAAGGCUGGCAGAAAAACUUAGGCCCCAACUUAACAGAAAACACGAAGGAGCCAGAGUCAGCUUUCCUUUUACAGUCAGAGGCUCCCCACACUGGUGGUGAAUCCUCAGCACAGGCGAAAAACAGGAAGGGAUAAAAAUGAAGGAAGUCUCUUGGCCAGUGGUCUUGAAGUGUUCCUUCCACACGGGUCCACUUCAGCCUGCCUGUGGGCAUCCUCUCCUUUCUGCAGUGGUUACUUGCAGUGCAUCUCAGCCUUUCUACUGGAGUUCCAUUCUCCACUUAGGGCCAAGCAGCCUGUCUAACCCACGGUGCACACAGGAAUGCAAAAUAUCCCCUGCUGUGUGCUGAUGCCUCAUGCAGCAGGAAGCAGUCCCAAGGUGUCCUGAAAUUAACUUACCAAGUCGCAUGCAGCAUUUCCUUCCUUUUAUUUUCGUUUGGAAAGAGACUGGAAUGGAAUGGAAUAGACAGACUAGACUAGAACAUAUCUGAGUCAUUGUGUGGUAAUGACUUCUUGAAACUUUUGUUUCAGUGUGUGUGGUGGGGUAAGGGGGGAUCACAAUUUAAAAUGUUGCCUCUCAGUCAGAAAACAACUUGGAAGGAUGAAUCUCAGGCCAUCCACGGAGCUUGCACAUGAUGUCCAGGGCCUUCUGAAGGGCUGUGAAGUUGCAGGGUAAACAACAACAAAAGCAGCGGGACAGAGGGCCUUGAUUCAGGUCCAGGAGGUGCUGGGUCCUCAGUCAAGUCCCACCGUCCCUUUGAGCCUUUCUUCUCAUCUGUAAAAUGAGGAUAAUCAGUCUCACUUCGCCUGCCUUGAAGGGUUGUUGUGCGGCUCAAACGGAACAGUGUUUGCUAAAUGUGGUGCACAUCAUAGGACAAGGCUUAUGUAAGGCAUUUUGGAAUUUUUAUUUAUAGUGGGAAGUUCAAACCAGGAAAAGAAGAGAUGGAUAAUAGCGUUGUUCAGGGUAGGUUGCACAGGGUGCUAUGGUUUGAAUGUGUCCCCCAGAAAUCAUGAGUUGGAAACUUAACCCACAAUGCAAUGGUGGUGGGAGGUCGGGCCUAAUGGGAGGAGUUGCAUCACGACAGCUCCACCCUCAUGAAUGGAUCCAUGCCAUUAUAAAAAAGCCAGACCCUGCGAGUUCACCCUCUUGCUCUCUCUCACCUUCUCUUUGCCAUUUUGCCGUGGAAUGAAGCAGCAAGAAGGCCCUCGUCAGAUGCCAGCCCCUCAGUCUUGGACUUCUCAGCCUCCAAAACUGUGAGAAGUAAAUUUCCUUUCUUUAUAAAUUACUUAGUCUGUGUAUUCUGUUAUAGCAACACAAAACAGAUUAAGACAGAGAGUGUCAAAGAUCCCUCAAGUCACCCCACGUGGCAGUCUCGGCAGUCUCCCAGUUCUCCUGCAUGUCCAGCCAGAUGAGACUAUCCAGGUAAUGCCUCAGGAAUCCUCCUACCGCAGUGAUUCUAAGCAACACAAGCAAAGGAAGUUUCAAGUUUGUUUUGUUUUUAAGUGUUCUUGACCCUAGGGCUGGUAUUUGAUAGCACCUGAAUGUCUAGGGCUGACCAGUUCUUUCUGGCUCACUCCACCCCUGCAGAGCCGUAGGAAACCCAUGCAACUUCCUCAUUGCCCAUGAGGCAAGGCAAGUGGUAGCGCACGCCUCUUAUGGAGUGAACACUACUGUUCUUUCUACUUCAUGGGAAGGUCUUGCAAAACAUUGGUUCUGUCUUCUUGCAUGAAUCAUAGACUAAAGAAUGAAGAAACACUUCUGAGUAACAAACAAGGAAGAAAGAAAAGGAAGCAAGCUGUGGUGAUGCGUUCUUGGAACAUAACUCCAAGUCAGUUCAUAGGAGCGAAAUCAACGUGUAGAUCUUUGUGUAAGGUUUUGCUGCUAAAGGACAAAAAAAAAAAAACUUUCCUUUUCCUUUUUUUUCUGAGUAAAAAGAUAACAGACACUCAUAAAAAUCAAAUAACGAAAUUAGAUCCCAAGAAGAGGACAAUGUAAGCAAUUUAAAGCACAUUUUCCCAAACUUGUGUCUUUUACUAAACUAAAAGAUUGAUACACAUACAUGGGCACAGUAUAGAUGUCAUUUUCCACUCCAUGUUUUCUUACCCAUCCACAUGACGGAGAGCUUUAUCCAUGAUGGUGGAUGAAAAUCUAGAACACUGCUAUUAGUAGUAGCAUUCUGUCAUAAAAAUGAAGCAGGACUUAUUAGUCAAUCUCACUGAAGGAUGUUUAAGUUGCUUCUGAAUUUUUGUUUCUAUAAAAAAAAAUGCCAGGAUAAACAUUCUUAUAUAUUCAUUAUUGUGCAUUUGUUCAGUUAUCUCCCAGGAAUAAGUUUCUGAGAGAAGAAUGACUGGGUCAAAAACUAUCAGAAUGUUCAACGUUAAUGUAUAUUGCCAAAUUGCCCUGCAGAAAUGGGGCAUCAGGUCCUACCAUCCCAGAAUUGCACAAGAGAACCCAUCUCUCCACAUCUAACCAACAGUGGUUACUGUCAAUCUUUUCACCUGUUUUCCAAUCUGAUAAGUAACAAAUAAUAUGUAUUUGUUGUUUUAAUUGCAUUUCUUUGAUUUCAGUGAGAUGUUAAAUUACUAAUUGUUAUCAAUGCAAAUAUACUACUAGCAGUGACAAUUGCUAAUCUGCACUGAAAAAUUUCUCUGCACCAGGCACUUUACUAAGCCCUUUACAGAAUUAUUUUCUUUUAUCCUCACAAUAACCCCUCAAGGCAGGGAAAAUAAGUAUCCCUAUUUUACAGAUAAAAACAAAGGCUUAGAGAGGUUACUUUGCUGAAGGUCAUGGAGCUAGUAAAUAGUGAAUCCAGAACUCAGUCCAGGUAGAUCUACCCCCAAAGCCCACACUGGGUAGCAAGCAUUAUCCUUCCAUUUAUUUCCAUACACACACUCACUAAUUCUGUGUUUCCUCUACGUAUGUUUCCACAGGCGAGUUUUAUGUCUUUAUGACCUUUGCUCAUUUUUUUUCAAUUGGAGUGCUUAUGUUUUUCUUAUUAAUUAGCAAUAACUUUUGGCUAUUAAGAAUAUUAAUUGCCAUUUUUAAAUCUACUUUUUUCUCUAUGAAAUGUAAUUAUAUACAAUUUACAACUUUCA
rnacentral:lncRNA from 1 species